UUAUGGGAACUGUCAUCUGCAAAAGGAAGAGGAAAAAUACAUUGCUGGUAGAAGCAGAAAUUCUCAUGAGUCAUAUUAUUCAUGAUUAAUCAGAUAUAUGGAAGAAAAUGUAGUAAUACCAUCCUUGGUGUGUGACUACAAGGGAGUGGAUAUAUUUCCCUCAACAUGGACCAUGUGAUAGAUCGCAAAUGGGAAGCUCUGAAGGUUCAUAAUUUCAUCAGCCCAUCUAUCCAGAUCUUCAUCAAGGGUGAUGUCGCCAGUGACUAUCAAGUGAAUGCUGGCUGGUUAGUGCCAUCAUCGUCAUGGAGUAAUAAAUGGUAACAAGCUGCUUUCAGAAACAAGUUGCCUCCUGAAGAAUUAUAGUGUCAAAAUAGAAAUUAUGCAGCAGAGUUGAAAAGAUGAAGGGUUUGAGGUAAUUUGUGUAUCUUUUAACGUUGUUUGAAAGGGUUGUUAGUGUAGUGGGGUUAUCUAAACGUUUUGUCAUUACUACAUUUGGAUGUUGAGAUGAGUUGUAAAUAGUAGUAUUUUAUCGGUCCCAUUGAGAUGUGUUAACUUUUUUAGGUAAACUUUUUAAGUUGAAAUGGGUUGAGAUGAGAGAGAGAGAGAGAGAGAGUAGUAAUAUUUUUUGUAACUUCCAGCUAAAAAUGGCUUCAUGGAACAAUUUCUUGCAGCUCCUCAAUGACCAUGCGAAUUUUUUUUUAUUAGUUAA